UACGUAGGGUGAGAGCGUUGUCCGGAAUUAUUGGGCGUAAAGAGCGUGUAGGCGGUUUGGUAGGUCCGUUGUGAAAACUCGAGGCUCAACCUCGAGACGCCGAUGGAAACCAUCAGACUAGAGUCCGGAAGAGGAGAGUGGAAUUCCUGGUGUAGCGGUGAAAUGCGCAGAUAUCAGGAAGAACACCCGUGGCUAAGGCGGCUCUCUAGUACGGUACUGACGCUGAGACGCGAAAGCGUGGGGAGCGAACAGG
rnacentral:rRNA from 1 species